rnacentral:rRNA from 1 species
UACAGAGGGUGCGAGCGUUAAUCGGAAUUACUGGGCGUAAAGCGUGCGUAGACGGUCGUGUAAGUCGGAUGUGAAAGCCCCGGGCUCAACCUGGGAAUUGCAUUCGAGACUGCAUGGCUUGGGUGCGGAAGAGGGAAGCGGAAUUUCCGGUGUAGCGGUGAAAUGCGUAGAUAUCGGAAGGAACACCAGUGGCGAAGGCGAGUCUCUGGACAUUUCCUGACGCUGAGGCACGAAAGCCAGGGGAGCAAACGGG